UGGGGAAUAUUGCACAAUGGGGGAAACCCUGAUGCAGCGACGCCGCGUGAGCGAAGAAGGUUUUCGGAUCGUAAAGCUCUGUUGUUAAGGAAGAACGAGUGUGAGAAUGGAAAGUUCAUGCUGUGACGGUACUUAACCAGAAAGGGACGGCUAACUACGUGCCAGCAGCCGCGGUAAUACGUAGGUCCCGAGCGUUGUCCGGAUUUAUUGGGCGUAAAGCGAGCGCAGGCGGUUAGAAAAGUCUGAAGUGAAAGGCAGUGGCUCAACCAUUGUAGGCUUUGGAAACUGUUUAACUUGAGUGCAGAAGGGGAGAGUGGAAUUCCAUGUGUAGCGGUGAAAUGCGUAGAUAUAUGGAGGAACACCGGUGGCGAAAGCGGCUCUCUGGUCUGUAACUGACGCUGAGGCUCGAAAGCGUGGGGAGCGAACAGG
rnacentral:rRNA from 1 species